ACUACUACUACUACUACUACUACUACUACUACAACUACUACUAUUACUACUACUCCCACUACUGCAAUAACAACUACUGCUACCAUACGAGCUAAUCCUGUCUUCAUACCACUAACCACUCUUGAAAGCCUUCCAUAAAACAAAAGAUUAUCACUCACACAAGACCAACUAUUUUCUCUUCAGUCCCUUUACUUGCUCAGCCUCGUCUUAACUGAACACCGUGAGGAAGUGAGUGGCAUAAGGUGAAGGAGGAGAAGCGUGAGGUGCGGGUGGAGAGGAGGGAGGAGGAGGAGGAGGAGGUGAUGUCUUGCAGAAUGAAGAGGAGAGGGCGAGUCACUAUUCUGUAAGACGUUCAUAAUGGGUAAGAGAUAAAAAAUACUGUAUACGUGAUGUCGGUGCUGUUGUUAAUUCUCCUGACUGGUUUUAAGAUGGAGGUUGUGAGUGAGGUGGUGGAGGUGGCGGUGAAGAGUGAGGUGGUGGUGGUCAUAUGGUCACUGGUGAUGAUGGAUCUAUAAGUCAAAGGGCAGUUAUUAUUAGUGAGAGUUGUGGUGGUGGUGACGCUCGUUUGCAUGUAGGGAGAAUAUAUUACAAAAAAUCAUGAGUUAGGGGUGAAGGUGGUGGUGGUGGUGGUAGUACUGGUAGGAGAGUAGAAAUGGGGUGAUGGUCCUGGUGAUAGUGAGUGUAGAUGGUGAUGGUGGUGGUGGUGGUAGUAGUCAUAGUGAGGAUGGUAGAAUAAUAGAAAUGCGGAUGGGGUGGUGGCAGUAAUGGUGAUCGAGGUGGAAUAAUAGUGGUGGUGGUGGUAAAGGUGAGAUAUACCUGUGUGUUCACCUAGCUUACCUGAGGCCACGUGCUAUUUCGUGUUUAAUAAAGGAACAAUCAAUAUUUCGUAAGGAUACUCAUUAAAAAAUUUCACUAGCGCUCUAUGGAAACCUUAUUGACACACUCAUUUCCUUUCAUUUGUUUAUAUAACUCAGCCGCUGCGGCACUGUUUGUCAUGUCCUCGCUUGUACAAUAUUCUUUGACCAAACCUUGUUCUUUUCAUAUCGGCGCCAUUUCUCUUAAACCGCUUACACUUUUUAAACAGAUUACUACUUUAGAUAAUAAGGAAGUUAUUUUUCAUACUUUCACUCAGUAAUUUCAAAACAUAUCUAUUAGUAUGGUUUUGCGUUUACAGGUAUGAUCCAACCUCCAUAGAAUAAGAUAUUACUUUUAUGUUAUUACUUCACACACACACACACACACACACACACACACACACACACACACACACACACACACACACACACACACACACACACACACACACACACACACACACACACACACACACACA